rnacentral:rRNA from 1 species
UACGUAGGGCGCAAGCGUUGUCCGGAAUUAUUGGGCGUAAAGAGCUCGUAGGCGGCCAGUUGCGUCUGCUGUGAAAUCCCGGGGCUCAACCCCGGGCGUGCAGUGGGUACGGGCUGGCUAGAGGCAGGCAGGGGAGAACGGAAUUCCCGGUGUAGCGGUGAAAUGCGCAGAUAUCGGGAGGAACACCGGUGGCGAAGGCGGUUCUCUGGGCCUGCACUGACGCUGAGGAGCGAAAGCGUGGGGAGCGAACAGG